rnacentral:rRNA from 1 species
CCCUUAGAUGUUCUGGGCCGCACGCGCGCUACACUGAUGCAUUCAACGAGUCUAAAACCUGCUCUGAUAGGGGUGGGUAAUCUUUUGAAUGUGCAUCGUGAUUGGGAUAGAUGAUUGCAAUUUUUCAUCUUCAACGAGGAAUGCCUAGUAAACGCAAGUCAUCAGCUUGCAUUGAUUACGUCCCUGCCCUUUGUACACACCGCCCGUCGCUCCUACCGAUUGAAUGAUCCGAUGAAUAUCAUGGAUUGAGGAUGCAAGUAGGUUAGCCUAUCUUCAUCUUCGAAAAGUGAAGUAAAUCUUAUCAUUUAGAGGAAGGAGAAGUCGUAACA